GAGUUUGAUUAUGGCUCAGGAUUAACGCUGGCGGUACGUCUAAUACAUGCAAGUCGAACGAAACAUAGUGCUUGCACUAAUGUUUAGUGGCGAACGGGUGAGUAACACGUAGGUAACCUGCCCUUAAGAUGAGGAUAACAGUUAGAAAUGACUGCUAAUACUGAAUAAGGAAUGAAGAUGGCAUCAAAAACAUUUUAAAGGUCCGAAUGGAUCGCUUAAGGAGGGGCCUGCGGCGCAUUAGCUAGUUGGUGAGAUAAUAGCCCACCAAGGCAAUGAUGCGUAGCCGGUCUGAGAGGUUGAACGGCCACAUUGGGACUGAGAGACGGCCCAAACUCCUACGGGAGGCAGCAGUAGAGAAUCUUCGGCAAUGGGGGAAACCCUGACCGAGCGAUACCGCGUGAAUGAAGACAUACUUCUAGUACGUAAAAUUCUUUUAUUUAGGAAGAACAUAUUGUAUAGGAAAUGAUACGAUAUGACGGUAC
rnacentral:rRNA from 1 species